GAGGGGCAGCGGGGGCGUAGCAAUAUGCCUGCCGGCGACCGGCGCACGGGUGAGUAACACGUAUGUAACCUGCCCUAUGCAGGGGGAUAACCCGGAGAAAUCCGGCCUAAUACCGCGUAAUACCUUAGGGGAGCAUUCUCUUGAGGUUAAAGGAGAGAUCCGGCAUAGGAUGGACAUGCGUCGCAUUAGGUAGACGGCGGGGUAACGGCCCACCGUGCCGACGAUGCGUAGGGGUUCUGAGAGGAAGGCCCCCCACACUGGUACUGAGACACGGACCAGACUCCUACGGGAGGCAGCAGUGAGGAAUAUUGGUCAAUGGCCGAGAGGCUGAACCAGCCAAGUCGCGUGAGGGAAGAAUGUCCUAAGGAUUGUAAACCUCUUUUGUCGGGGAGCAAAAAGGCUCUGCGGAGUCGUAUUGAGAGUACCCGAAGAAAAAGCAUCGGCUAACUCCGUGCCAGCAGCCGCGGUAAUACGGAGGAUGCGAGCGUUAUCCGGAUUUAUUGGGUUUAAAGGGUGCGCAGGCGGCGUGUCAAGCAAGCGGUAAAAUAGCGGGGCUCAACCCCGUCGAGCCGUUUGAACUGGCGCGCUUGAGUUCAGGCGAGGUAGGCGGAAUUCGUGGUGUAGCGGUGAAAUGCAUAGAUAUCACGAAGAACUCCGAUUGCGAAGGCAGCUUACCAGUCUGCGACUGACGCUCAGGCACGAAAGUGUGGGUAUCGAACAGGAUUAGAUACCCUGGUAGUCCACACAGUAAACGAUGAGCGCUAGGUGUCCGGGUCGAAUGAGGCUUGGGUGCCCGAGCGAAAGCGUUAAGCGCUCCACCUGGGGAGUACGCCGGCAACGGUGAAACUCAAAGGAAUUGACGGGGGCCCGCACAAGCGGAGGAACAUGUGGUUUAAUUCGAUGAUACGCGAGGAACCUUACCCGGGCUCAAACGACUCAGGAAUAUAUUGGAAACGAUGUAGCCAGCAAUGGUCUGAGUCGAGGUGCUGCAUGGUUGUCGUCAGCUCGUGCCGUGAGGUGUCGGCUUAAGUGCCAUAACGAGCGCAACCCCUACCGCCAGUUGCCAACGGGUAAAGCCGGGAACUCUGGCGGGACUGCCGGCGCAAGCUGCGAGGAAGGCGGGGAUGACGUCAAAUCAGCACGGCCCUUACGUCCGGGGCGACACACGUGUUACAAUGGCAGGUACAGCGGGAAGCCACCUGGUGACAGGGAGCGGAACCCGAAAGCCUGUCUCAGUUCGGAUUGGAGUCUGCAACUCGACUCCAUGAAGCUGGAUUCGCUAGUAAU
rnacentral:rRNA from 1 species